rnacentral:rRNA from 1 species
CCUACGGGUGGCAGCAGUGAGGAAUAUUGGUCAAUGGACGAGAGUCUGAACCAGCCAAGUAGCGUGAAGGAUGACUGCCCUAUGGGUUGUAAACUUCUUUUAUAUGGGAAUAAACUGUUCCACGUGUGGGCUUUUGUAUGUACCAUAUGAAUAAGGAUCGGCUAACUCCGUGCCAGCAGCCGCGGUAAUACGGAGGAUCCGAGCGUUAUCCGGAUUUAUUGGGUUUAAAGGGAGCGUAGGUGGAUUGUUAAGUCAGUUGUGAAAGUUUGCGGCUCAACCGUAAAAUUGCAGUUGAAACUGGCAGUCUUGAGUACAGUAGAGGUGGGCGGAAUUCGUGGUGUAGCGGUGAAAUGCUUAGAUAUCACGAGGAACCCCGAUUGCGAAGGCAGCCUGCCAGGGUGCGACUGACGCUGAGGCUCGAAGGUGCGGGUAUCAAACAGGAUUAGAUACCCGAGUAGUC